AUGAUGAUUAUUCCCCACCUUCUAAGAGACAAAGACCAACGAGCCACCACAGCCACCAGUCCCAGAACCCGCCAAUGCUGGGGAACGGAAAAUGAGGGAGUUCAACUCUGAGAAAUGGAAUCAUCGUAUCGCUGAUCUACGUAAACAAACUGAAGAAUUGUCUGAAAGAAAAUAUGCUCGAGCUGUAAAAGCCAAAGGUCUGGUGAUGAUCCCAUACCCUUUUUUCCAGUCUCAUGUUGAAGAUUUUUAUGUAGAAGGCCUUCCCAAAGGAUUUUUAGGAAGGCUUUCUACUAAUGGAAUUCCUGGCCUUGAGAGGAUGUUACUUUCGAAGGAAAGGAUUUUUUUGUUAUUAAAAGGUAA
rnacentral:lncRNA from 1 species